UACGUAGGGUGCGAGCGUUAAUCGGAAUUACUGGGCGUAAAGCGUGCGCAGGCGGCGCGUUAAGACAGGUGUGAAAGCCCCGAGCUUAACUUGGGAAUUGCGCUUGUGACUGGCGUGCUGGAGUGUGGCAGAGGGAGGUGGAAUUCCACGUGUAGCAGUGAAAUGCGUAGAGAUGUGGAGGAACACCGAUGGCGAAGGCGGCCCCCUGGGCCGGCCCUGACACGUGAGACGCGAAGGCGUGGGGAGCGAACGGG
rnacentral:rRNA from 1 species